UUAAGGUCCCUAAAUCCAUAUUAAGUGGGAAAGGAUGUGGAGUUGUUUAGACAACUAGGAGGUUGGCUUAGAAGCAGCCAUCCUUUAAAGAGUGCGUAAUAGCUCACUAGUCGAAUGAUUCUGCGCCGAAGAUGUAACGGGGCUAAACAUGAUACCGAAACUGCGGAUCCGUAAGGAUGGUAGCUGAGCGUUCUUAUUGCGGAGAAGUCUGAUCGUGAGGACAGGUGGAGCGAUAAGAAGUGAGAAUGCCGGUGUGAGUAAUGAAAAGUAGGGUGAGAAUCCCUACCGUCAAAAGUCUAAGGUUUCCAGAGGAAGGUUCGUCCGCUCUGGGUUAGUCUGGACCUAAGGUGAGGCUGAAAAGCGUAGCCGAUGGAUAUCCGGUUGAUAUUCCGGGACCACCAUAUGAACUGAUGGAAUGACGGAGAAAGAUAGCCAAACUAGAUUAGUGGAUUUCUAGUGAAAGUGUCAAGGGCGUGUUAUAGGCAAAUCCGUAACACACAUAGCCUGAGGCUCUGAAGUCAAAUUGGUGAAUCUAUGCUUCCAAGAAAAGUUUCUAGGGUUAAUUUAUAUGGUGCCAGUACCGUAAACCGACACAGGUAGACGAGGAGAGAAUCUAAAGACGCGCGAGAUAACUCUUGUUAAGGAACUCGGCAAAAUGACCCCGUAACUUCGGGAUAAGGGGAGCUCUACUAGUUGGAGCCGCAGAGAAUAGGCCCAAGCGACUGUUUAUCAAAAACACAGCUCUAUGCUAAAUCGCAAGAUGAUGUAUAGGGGGUGACGCCUGCCCAGUGCUGGAAGGUUAAGAGGAGUGCUUAGCUUCGGCGAAGGUGCGAAUUGAAGCCCCAGUGAACGGCGGCCGUAACUAUAACGGUCCUAAGGUAGCGAAAUUCCUUGUCGGGUAAGUUCCGACCCGCACGAAAGGCGUAACGAUUUGGGCACUGUCUCAACAAGAGACUCGAUGAAAUCUUAGUACCGGUGAAGAUGCCGGUUACCCGCGACAGGACGGAAAGACCCCGUGGAGCUUUACUGUAGCUUGAUAUUGAUUAUUGGUACGUGAUGUACAGGAUAGGUGGGAGACUAUGAAUCCGGGACGCUAGUUUCGGAGGAGUCAUCCUUGGGAUACCACCCUUCGCGUAUUGAUAAUCUAACCUUCGGAUGUGUAGUCCGGGGGACAGUGUCUGGCAGACAGUUUGACUGGGGCGGUCGCCUCCUAAAGAGUAACGGAGGCGCACAAAGGUACACUCAGAAUGGUUGGAAAUCAUUCGUAGAGCGUAAAGGUAGAAGUGUGCUUGACUGCGAGACGUACAUGUCGAGCAGGUACGAAAGUAGGUCUUAGUGAACUGCCAAUUCCGAAUGGAAGGGUUGGCAAUCAACGGAUAAAAGUUACCCCGGGGAUAACAGGCUGAUUCCUCCCAAGAGUUCACAUCGACGGGGGAGUUUGGCACCUCGAUGUCGGCUCAUCACAUCCUGGAGCAGGAGCAUGUUCCAAGGGUUGGGCUGUUCGCCCAUUAAAGUGGUACGCGAGCUGGGUUCAGAACGUCGUGAGACAGUUCGGUCCCUAUCCGUCGUGGGCGUUGGGAAUUUGAGAGGAGCUGACCUUAGUACGAGAGGACCGGGUUGGACACACCACUGGUGCACCUGUUAGGCUGCCAGGCCUAUAGCAGGGUAGCUACGUGUGGACGGGAUAAACGCUGAAAGCAUCUAAGCGUGAAGCCCCCCUCAAGAUGAGAUUCCCCAUUCAAUUUGAAGUAAGAUCCCUUAUAGACUAUGAGGUUGAUAGGCCAGAUGUGGAAGUACGGUGACGUAUGAAGCUGACUGGUACUAAUAGAUCGAGGACUUAACUUU
rnacentral:rRNA from 1 species